rnacentral:rRNA from 1 species
UGGGGAAUAUUGGACAAUGGGCGAAAGCCUGAUCCAGCCAUGCCGCGUGUGUGAAGAAGGUCUUCGGAUUGUAAAGCACUUUAAGUUGGGAGGAAGGGCAGUAAGCGAAUACCUUGCUGUUUUGACGUUACCGACAGAAUAAGCACCGGCUAACUCUGUGCCAGCAGCCGCGGUAAUACAGAGGGUGCAAGCGUUAAUCGGAAUUACUGGGCGUAAAGCGCGCGUAGGUGGUUCGUUAAGUUGAAUGUGAAAGCCCCGGGCUCAACCUGGGAACUGCAUCCAAAACUGGCGAGCUCGAGUAGGGCAGAGGGUGGUGGAAUUUCCUGUGUAGCGGUGAAAUGCGUGGAUAUAGGAAGGAACACCAGUGGCGAAGGCGACCACCUGGGCUCAUACUGACACUGAGGUGCGAAAGCGUGGGGAGCAAACAGG